UAACAACAACUCUCCUGUUAUACAGCUGUUCCGCCCGUGACGCCGGCGGUCAGACACAGUCAGAAUCAGAAUGCUUUAUUUGUAAAACAUAGGUAUAAAUAGGUCUUAGGUACGGGUAUAUUACAUUUGAAAACUAUGUUUCGCCGGUCGGCAUACAAAUGUCAGCAGUAACGAAAAUCUAAUUAAAAAUUGCACAAUGUUGUAACUUAUACAAUAAAACAAUUAUAAUGAGUAUUACAUUACAAUUAAAUUAAAAUACAAUUCAAAAUUCAAAUACAAUUAAAAUACAGUUCAAAAUUCAAUAAAAUUAAAAUAUAUCAUUAGUAAUGGUUAUAAUUACUAUUUAUGUCAUUAGGUUAUAAUCAUCUAGAUAUUCGUUUAUGGAGUAAUAUGCUUUAUUUACUAGGAAUUUGAAUACUUAUUUUUUGAAUAUAUGGAUGUCCUGUAGUUUCCGUAUGCUUUCGGGUAAAUUAUUAUAAAUUAGGGGUUCCAUUCCAAAUAUACUUUUAGAGAGAAGAGCUGUUUUAUAUAGUUUAUUUUUUAUGUUGGCAAUUUUACGUGCACUGUUAAAUUUUGUAUAAUUACUUAUAUUGCUUUUCACAUACAAUGCUGUUUCAUAUAUAUAAAGCGAUGGAAGAGUUAAUAUUCUGAAUUCAGUAAAUAAAGCUUUACAUGAGUCAGUUAUGUUUAAACCACAUACCUACGGAUCGUAUACAUUUUUUUUGGCUUUUAAAUACUAAAUCUCUGUCUGUUGAGUUUCCCCAGAAAAUUAGCCCGUAUCUUAAAGUUGACGUGACGUAAGCGUGAUAGGAAGUUAUGACAGUACAAUAAGUAUUAGAUAGAUUAAAAUGUACAAGUUUAAUUAUUUUUCGCAGUGAUAGAUGGGGCCCGAAGAGUGUAAUGGUGACGAUUCUUAAAUUGAUGAAAGCAGGGAUCCAACCUCUGACCGUAGAAGUUCUGAUGGCAUGCGGGUCGGUAAUGCCGGGCAAGGGAAAACUGACCGCUGCUCGGUGCUUCUCGUCUUUGCUGAAGCUCCAACAAAACGGCUUCAUUAAAGUUGUCAAGAGUCCAGGAUCUUUGGAUAUCACCGAGAUUCAGUUGGGUCGUAUCUUUAACGUCCAGUAGUCAAUUAAUUAAUAGUUACUACUACAGUUGAUUAUAUUAAAAUUGAUCAAAUUAAAAUAAAUUAUAAACAAUUUGAUUAAUUAAUUAUCAGAAAUUAUUAAUUGCUGAUGUCGUAACUCUUUCGAUUAUUUAACUAUGGAAAAUGCCCAAAAUCAAGAGGCAAAAUUCAAGCUGAAAUGGUAGCCGAGCCCUUGCAGAGAGGCUUGACCGAGGACAUCGAGGCGGUCGCCGUGUGCGUCACGUGGGACAGGCGCAAGCUGGGCGAGUUCUUCCAGAACAAGUAAGUAAACGUCUAGUAGCACGGACUCUGAGAUCAAGCUGACAUGAUAGCCGAGCCCUUGGAGAGAGGCCUGGCCGAGGACAUCGAGGCGGGCGCCGUGUGCGUCACGUGGGACAGGCGCAAGCUGGGCGAGUUCUUCCAGAACAAGUACGACUGGGACUUGCUCGCCGAGCGGUCCAUCUGAAUGAGUUCUAUGUCUGGUUUAAUUUAUCGCCCGUAUUAGAUUUACACACUGUAUAUUAUUUUAUGUUACAUGUCGCUUGUUUUACAAGUGAUUUCCU